rnacentral:rRNA from 1 species
GGGUCAGUAGGUUGGUCGUGCCACCGGUACGUACUGGUCUCAAUGAUUCCUCCUUCCUGAAGAACCGUAAUGCCAUUAAUUUGGUGUUGCGGGGAAACAGGACUGUUACUUUGAAAAAAUUAGAGUGUUUAAAGCAAGCUAACGCUUGAAUACAUUAGCAUGGAAUAAUGAAAUAGGACGAUCGAUCCUAUUUUGUUGGUUCCUAGGAUUGACGUA